rnacentral:rRNA from 1 species
UACGUAGGGUGCGAGCGUUGUCCGGAAUUACUGGGCGUAAAGCGCACGUAGGCGGAUUUGUAAGUCAGGGGUGAAAUCCCGGGGCUCAACCUCGGAACUGCCUUUGAUACUGCAAAUCUCGAGUCCGGAAGAGGUGAGUGGAAUUCCUAGUGUAGAGGUGAAAUUCGUAGAUAUUAGGAAGAACACCAGUGGCGAAGGCGGCUCACUGGUCCGGUACUGACGCUGAGGUGCGAAAGCGUGGGGAGCAAACAGGG